AGCGCAAAUGUUUGAGUUGAAAGAGCAUAUCUUUAUCGUGUCAGUCAAUAACUAUCGACUCACUAUUGAACUUUUUUCUCUUCAGAAGUUCAUAUCCUUGUUUGUUGUUUAUCAGGUUUUCAGGAAUUCGGGCCUUACAACAGAAAAAAUCAAACUUUUAGCAUGCUAACACUCAACCUUUUAGAAAUACUAGCAAAUAUGCUUGUGUUGUAAUGGGAGAAAAGAAAUCCUAGCAUGCUCAAGCCCAAUAACACAACGCCUCCACCUUGCUGGCAACCUUGCAUUUGUAUGAGCACAAGCAGAGGAAAAAAAAGAUGUGAUUUGGUUAUACAUGAGCAAAGUGUAAUUAAUUAAUCAAUGGUCCAAGGAAAUCACAUCCGGACAUGUAAAGCCAUGCAAACAAUCACUUGCGCUUGCGUGCGUAAGCAAUCCCUGCUAGAAGUAAAGGUUUCACUGUCUCAACACUCAAGUCAGUAAAUAAAAAAUCAUCUUUGGAAAAAGUUACCGGACGGCCAUACACAAAAAGAGAAAAUAAACAAUGUAUAUUUGGACUUAGAAAGGGUAAAAUCGUUACAUUCUGAGUGUCAAUAUCUUAAUAGAUGAUAGAAGCCUUAGAUGCGAUGUUGUCUGGAUUGGCUAGAGAUUAUAGAGGAUUGGUCUCCCAAAAAAAAAACUUCUUUGUAAUACACAUUAUGUUCCAUAAAAAAAUGCAUACUUAUUCAAACUCAUGUCUAAAGUUCUAAAUCUCGAGGUAUAAUUUGUUAAGCCAGGCUAAGCUAAGCUAUUUCUAUCCAUGUACAGCUAUAGUCCACUACAACCUCAUUUAACUCUGCUACUGGCUUCUUGAGAAGCCAUCCGCUAAAACAUUGCUCAAUUACAAUUGGAAAUCUUCUUUCUUAGAGUCAAAACAAUAAGUUUGCUUAAAUAUAUAUAAUAAAAGUUACUAAUACUCAUAUGAUGCCCAAUAAGUAUCAUCGAAUCAAUCAUAAAAUAUUAAAGCAUAUGUUUAUAAUAAGUCUAUUUGAAAAUAUAUAUUGGUACUAUGUGUUAGAUUUAUAUAUUGUAUUUUCUCUUUUUGGAGGUUCUCCUUGCAUAUGUACACACCAUAUAUAUUUGCCCCUUUGGGCCUAGAAUAGAGGCUUGGUUGGCCAUGUUAGAAUGAAUGGCCAACCAAGCUUCUAUUCUAGGCCCAAAGGGGCAAAUAUACAUGGUGUAUACAUAUGCAAGGAGAAGCUAUGUUAGAAUGAAUGGUCAACCAAGCCUCAAGCCUCUAUUCUAGACUCAAAGGGGCAAAUAUACAUAAUGUGUACAUAUAGAAGAAGAACCUCCAAGAAAGAGAAAAUACACAUAACACAUACUCCCUCCGUCCUUGAAAGCUGUAAUUUUUAGUGUUGUCCUAAGUCAAACAUUUACAAUUUUGACCAAAUUUAUAGAAAAAAUACUAAGAUUUAUAGUACCAAAUUAAUAUUAUAGAAUAUAUUUUCAUAAGAUACUUAUUUUAUGUCAUAGAUAUUAAUAAUCUUUUCUAUAAAGUUGAUCAAAGUUAGAAAAGUUUGACUGGCACGGAUUGAGUUGAAGCUUUCGGGGACAGAGGGAGUAUAUACAUAACACUAUGAAGCGAUAUUUCCUUUAUUUUUUUUCUUUUUAGAUGGAGGGAGUAUUUUUCAGAACUCUAAAAUGCGUGGGGACUUGGGGUGGUCAGACCCUUUCCAUUCCUGGCAAGUACUGGGCACUUCUGAGUUUUGAGGCUCCAUUUGGACAUAUCCAUGACUUCAUAUGGAAAUAGGAUGGACGCGGCAGCAAAAGACCGACAGAACCUUGCCAUGUAUAACUAUGCCAAGAACGAGUUCAAUGUUUUCCCCUUUGUACGUAACGUACCUGGAGCUCGGUGGUGACGGGGUACUCGUCCAUGUCGACGUAGUUCUUGUUGACGGAGUCCAUGAUGAGCUUGUCGCACUCGGGCUCCAUCCACG
rnacentral:lncRNA from 1 species